rnacentral:rRNA from 1 species
UCUAUCAGUUUUACUGAUGUGACUUGUUGCGUAUAGGAGUUGCUGUCUUGUUUUUCUAAUGUUCGAAGUCUCUUUGAUGGGACCCAUAAGCCUGAGAGGGUGCCCGACCUGUACGAACAAUGAUAUAUUCUGUUAUGUCAUUCUUUGCAGUCUGGUUGCUUGAAAAUGCAACCUUAGGUGGGUGACAAACUUCAUCGAAAGCUAAAUAUAGACGCGCAUUCGAUAGCAAACACCUACCGUGAGGGAAAGUUGCAAAUAACUUUAAAGAGAUAGUUCAAGAGAACGUGAAAUCGCUUGAUGCAAGCGGAGACAGCCAACGUUCCAGGGCAGCCUUUUUUUUUGUUCCGUCACUUAACUGUGAUUAUAGAAAUUGAUGCUGUUCAAGUUGUGCUGGUUGCUUUGGUUAUGUCAACUGAACUGUUCUUAUGUUGCCCACUUUUGGGGUGGCUUGUAUUCAGAUAGGUUGGUCAUAACGUAUGUUUAUCUCUGCUUGCAAAGUGCCAGAGUGAAAGUUGGUCUUCUUACCCACCCUGCUUGAAACACCGACCAAUGAGUGUAUCUCAUACGCCAGUCAGAGAAUGACUCACUCUACUGCUGAAUGAAAAUGUAGGCCUACUGACUGGUUGACGAAUGAUUCGUUCGAUUGAGCGACUAUGUAUGGGUCUUGCUUGAUUGCUUGCAGUUGGACGGAGAACGAGCGGAUAGGAUGCCACCCGAUGGAUAACGAAGUAUGCGUGAGCAGGACCAAGACGAAAGACACUCGGGAGUAAGUCCGUGUCCUGACUGACGUGCAGAUCGAUCGACAUACUUGAGUAUGCGGGCGACUGACUAAUCCAUCCAUCUACUGGCUGCGCUCCCUACGUAUCUCUCCCGCAUAGAUAGGAUGUUAUCUAUUUUCGCUUGUUAUUAUCCGGUAAAGCGAAUGAUUAGAGGAAUUUGGGGAGUCGAUAUCGAUCCUCAGACCUAUUUCCUCAAACUUUCAAUGGGGUAUGAUGGUCUGCGGUUUCUUAUAUUGAACUUGUUAGAC